rnacentral:pre_miRNA from 1 species
CUAUAUGUACCCUGUAGGCUCGAAUUUGUGUAAGCGUCGCAAAAGUCACAAAUUCGUCUCUAGGGGAAUAUAUGGA